ACCGAACCCGCAACCUCAUGGUUCCUAGUCGGAUUCGUUAACCACUGCGCCAUGACGGGAACUCCUCUAUAUCUUCAACAAUGCUUUUUGUGGUCUGUGUUUGAUUAUUGCCAUUCUCCUAGUAUCUUUUGAAUAUAUGUACUUAGGUUUCUAUUAUCAGAUUAUGGAGUAGGCUCUGGAAUAUGAUAGGAAUAGAGGUCUUGGUGGGGUAAAGGCAUCAGAGAAGAGUUAGAGUCGGGGUCAUUACACGUGGAACGGGACAGUUGACUUAGAAAGGUGAUGAAGUUGAUGACUUCCAUACUUUGCUCUUCCGAUAUGGGGAACAGGUGCAGCCUAUAAGCACAAAGCGAAGCUGGGACAGGAACAGGUGUGGCUUAACUUCAGGCUGAAUCUUCUUUGGGAUGUGAUUGAUCUUUCUUCACAAAGCUGCCUCUCCUUCCUGCAACCAUCCAGAAAGGACCAAUGGAACUAUUAGAAAAUGCCCAUGUUAUCAUGAGGUGAUUUAAUUCCCCUUUUAAACUACAGCUUCACUUUCAGAGCAGAUACAGAAUUUUUCUUUGGUCAGUUCCAUAAGGCCACCCACAGAAAAACCCGUUCAGGUGUCCUAAUUACCUGAGUAUCAUUUUGGGAAAUCUACUCAAUUGCAAAGGUCCACAAUAAUAUCAGAUAGUAUUAAAAAUGGUCUUGGGGAGACAUGGAAGCAACCUAUAUGUCCAUCAAAAGAGGAUUUGAUAAAGA
rnacentral:lncRNA from 1 species